UGAGCAAUCUGCCCUUCUCUUCGGAAUAAAGACGUUGGAAACGACGUCUAACGCCGAAUACGACCUCCUUUCGCAUGAUCGGAGGUGGAAAGCUCCGGCGGAGAAGGAUGAGCUCGCGGCCUAUCAGCUAGUUGGUGUGGGUAAUGGCCUACCAAGGCGACGACGGGUAGCCGGCCUGAGAGGGCGACCGGCCACACUGGGACUGAGACACGGCCCAGACUCCUACGGGNGCAGCAGG
rnacentral:rRNA from 1 species